rnacentral:tRNA from 1 species
GAAGGUAUAGCUCAGUGGUAGAGCGCAUGCUUAGCAUGCACAAAGUCCUGGGUUCAAUCCCCAGUACCUCCA